GCGCACGCCGGUGACCUCGGUUUUCGCCAUGAUGUUGAGGUCGCCGGCGUGGGCGAGCGCCCCGAGGUAGAAGGCGUAGUCCUCGCCCGAGGGGUGCUCCGCGCCGAGCGUGUGCGCGGGCGAGGUGCCGAACAUGACCGAGUUGAGGUCGAAGGAGCCCGACCACCCCUGGUGGUUGAACGAGGGC
rnacentral:SRP_RNA from 13 species